UUCCAGACUCCUACGGGAGGCAGCAGUCGGGAAUAUUGCGCAAUGGAGGAAACUCUGACGCAGUGACGCCGCGUAUAGGAAGAAGGUUUUCGGAUUGUAAACUAUUGUCGUUAGGGAAGAUAAAAGACAGUACCUAAGGAGGAAGCUCCGGCUAACUACGUGCCAGCAGCCGCGGUAAUACGUAGGUGGCAAGCGUUGUCCGGAUUUACUGGGUGUAAAGGGCGUGUAGCCGGGCUGACAAGUCAGAUGUGAAAUCCGGGGGCUCAACCCCCGAACUGCAUUUGAAACUGUUGGUCUUGAGUAUCGGAGAGGCAGGCGGAAUUCCUAGUGUAGCGGUGAAAUGCGUAGAUAUUAGGAGGAACACCAGUGGCGAAGGCGGCCUGCUGGACGACAACUGACGUUGAGGCUCGAAAGCGUGGGGAGCAAACAGGAUUAGAUACCCGCGUAA
rnacentral:rRNA from 1 species